rnacentral:rRNA from 1 species
CCCGCUGAACUUAAGCAUAUCAAUAAGCGGAGGAAAAGAAACCAACAGGGAUUACCCUAGUAACGGCGAGUGAAGCGGUAACAGCUCAAAUUUAAAAUCUGGCCUUCACGGGUCCGAGUUGUAAUUUGUAGAGGAUGUUUCGGACAAGGCUGUGGUUUAAGUUUCUUGGAACAGAACGUCAUAGAGGGUGAGAAUCCCGUCUAGAACCAAUGGCCGCGUCCAUGUGAAACCCCUUCGACGAGUCGAGUUGUUUGGGAAUGCAGCUCAAAAUGGGUGGUAAAUUUCAUCUAAAGCUAAAUAUUGGCCAGAGACCGAUAGCGCACAAGUAGAGUGAUCGAAAGAUGAAAAGUACUUUGAAAAGAGAGUUAAACAGUAUGUGAAAUUGUUGAAAGGGAAGCGCUUGCAACCAGACUUGUGUGUGGUGGCUCCCCCAGUCUUCUGACUGGGUUAUUCUGCCAUAACCAGGCCAGCAUCGAUUUAGGCGGCCAGUUAAAGGCUCUGGGAAGGUAUCUACCUUCGGGUCGACUUAUAGCCCAGGGUGUAAUGUGGCCUGCUUGGAUCGAGGAACGCGCUCUUGCUCGGAUGUUGGCGUAAUGGUUGUAAGCGGCCCGUCUUGAAACACGG